rnacentral:antisense_RNA from 1 species
AAAUAUGGUGGGACGUAGCGGGGGAGACGCAAGUCUCGCCGGGUUCUUCGUGGCCGGUAUGCUAACCCUGUUACGUCUCGCCACCCCG